rnacentral:rRNA from 1 species
CUACGGGGCGGCAGCAGUGAGGAAUAUUGCGCAAUGGGGGAAACCCUGACGCAGCGACGCCGCGUGGAUGAUGAAGGCCUUCGGGUCGUAAAAUCCUGUCAGAAGGAAAGAAAUGUACGGUAGCUAAUAUCUGCCAUACUUGACGGUACCUUCAAAGGAAGCACCGGCUGACUCCGUGCCAGCAGCCGCGGUAAUACGGAGGGUGCAAGCGUUGUUCGGAAUUACUGGGCGUAAAGCGCGCGUAGGCGGCUGUUUAAGUCAGAUGUGAAAGCCCAUGGCUUAACCAUGGACGUGCAUUUGAUACUGGGCAGCUUGAGUACUGGAGGGGGUGGUGGAAUUCCCGGUGUAGAGGUGAAAUUCGUAGAUAUCGGGAGGAAUACCGGUGGCGAAGGCGACCACCUGGCCAGAUACUGACGCUGAGGUGCGAAAGCGUGGGAGCAAACAGGAUUAGAUACCCGGGUAGUC